rnacentral:tRNA from 1 species
ACCGUGUUGGUGUAACUUGGUUAGCACCGAGGUUUGUGGUGCCUCUGGUCUGGGUUCAAAUCCCGGGCACGGUC